rnacentral:rRNA from 1 species
AUUGAACGCUGGCGGCAUGCUUUACACAUGCAAGUCGAACGGUAACAGGCCUUCGGGUGCUGACGAGUGGCGAACGGGUGAGUAAUGCAUCGGAACGUACCCAGAGGUGGGGGAUAACGCAGCGAAAGCUGUGCUAAUACCGCAUGUGAUCUGAGGAUGAAAGCGGGGGACCGCGCAGCAAUGUUUGGCCUCGCGCCUUUGGAGCGGCCAAUGUCGGAUUAGCUAGUUGGGGGGGUAAAGGCCUACCAAGGCGACGAUCCGUAGCUGGUCCGAGAGGACGACCAGCCACACUGGGACUGAGACACGGCCCAGACUCCUACGGGAGGCAGCAGUGGGGAAUUUUGGAGAAUGGGGGAAAGCCUGAUCCAGCAAUGCCGCGUGCGGGAAGAAGGCCUUCGGGUUGGAAACCGCUUUUGGCAGGAACGAAACGGUGUCCGCUAAUACCGGGCGCUAAUGACGGUACCUGCAGAAUAAGCACCGGCUAACUACGUG